UUGUAUGUGGAAAUGUCUGCUCCUUAUUUCUUUGAGAACAAGAAUAUAUUCAUUACAUGGUACAUUAAAACAGGAGUUCUCAUGGUGGCUCAUAGGCAA
rnacentral:ncRNA from 1 species